GACGAACGCUGGCGGCGUGCUUAACACAUGCAAGUCGAACGAUGAAGGCUGGAGCUUGCUCCGGCUGGAUUAGUGGCGAACGGGUGAGUAACACGUGAGCAAUCUGCCCUUGACUCUGGGAUAACUCCGAGAAAUCGGUGCUAAUACCGGAUAUGACCCUUGGCGGCAUCGCUGGGGUGGAAAGUUUUUCGGUCAAGGAUGAGCUCGCGGCCUAUCAGCUUGUUGGUGAGGUAAUGGCUCACCAAGGCGACGACGGGUAGCCGGCCUGAGAGGGUGACCGGCCACACUGGGACUGAGACACGGCCCAGACUCCUACGGGAGGCAGCAGUGGGGAAUAUUGCACAAUGGGCGCAAGCCUGAUGCAGCAACGCCGCGUGGGGGAUGACGGCCUUCGGGUUGUAAACCUCUUUUAGCAGGGAAGAAGCGAAAGUGACGGUACCUGCAGAAAAAGCACCGGCUAACUACGUGCCAGCCGCCGCAGUAA
rnacentral:rRNA from 1 species